GUUUUACUUGCUUUUGAUCAGUUUGUGCAAUCUGAAUUCCCUUGAAGUAUUUAAUUACAACAACAGAGCUGAUUGAUCUGUUUUCCUAUGUUUGCACCUGAUUUUAAUGCAGCACACAAACCUGUUUUAGAGCGUGGGGCGUAGCGUGGCACCAGGGUACACUCAGGAGGAGGAGGAAUUCUGCUGUGCCAAUGUGCUGCAGCCUCGGUGUCAGUUAUGUUUGAGAUGUUUAUAUAAAUGCUUUAUAUCACAGGACACUCGUCACUCACGCUCUUUAUACUUGUGAUUCUUUCCUUGUUCUUUCGUGCGUGUCUGAACACCGGCGUCCGGGCUGUGAUGGAGCGCUGGCGGGGCAGAGUGGCUUUGGUGACCGGAGCCUCGGUCGGGAUUGGGGCGGCUAUAGCUGUAGAGCUGGCACGGCUCGGAAUGAAAGUAAUGGGCUGCGCCAGGGACGUCGGAAAAAUACAGAAACUGGCAGCAGAGUGUCAGAGUGCCGGCCACUCUGGUGUUCUGGUGCCUUUCAAGUGUGAUUUGACCAACGAAGAGGAGAUUCUGUCCAUGUUUGCAGCGAUCAAAGAGCAGCACAGAGGCGUGGACGUGUGCAUCAACAACGCCGGCUUGGCUCACCCAGAGCCGCUGCUAAGUGGCAAAACCAGCGGCUGGAAGAACAUGAUGGAUGUGAACGUUUUUGGAUUGAGUAUCUGCGCGCGUGAAGCAUAUCAGUCAAUGAAAGAGAGACAUGUUGACGAUGGGCACAUCAUAAACAUAAACAGUGAAUGUGGACAUCAUGUGAUUCCCCUUGCUGAUGUACAUUUCUACACCGCCACCAAGUUUGCUGUAACCGCUCUGACUGAGGGCUUAAGGCAGGAGCUGCGUGCAGAAAAGACCCAUAUCCGAGCCACAAGCAUUUCUCCCAGCUUAGUGAAGACUGAAUUUCCUUUGCGGCUCUAUAGCAACAAUCCAGAUAUAAAAGCCAGAGCUUUCUCUGCAUAUAAGCCUUUGGAAGCAAAAGACGUUGUCAACGCUGUUAUAUACGUGCUCGGUGCCCCUCCUCAUGUUCUGAUUGGAGAGGUUCAGAUGUUAGCAACAGAGCAGAAGUCUUAGAGUUGCACCACGAGACGCUCCUGAAUUAAUAAGACCAAUUCUUCUCCUUUAUGAAACUGACGACCAGCAUUGGGUGUAACAUGCUGCUGUAAUCAGAUUACGGUACAUUUUUCAGUAAUACAACACAGUUGUAACAAUUAUAGCACUACUGGCCUUUUAAAGGUUCUUCCAAUCAUCUGGAGGAUGGCCAAAUAGAAAGAAAAAACUGUUAAUCGUGUCUUGCUGUUGCUCUAUAACCAGCUGAUUUUAGUUCGUGUGUAAGCAGCAGGAAAAUUGUAAAAUGGGAAUCAACUUCUGAGGAGUAAAAAUAAGGACAUUACUUGUAUUUCUUGUUUUGCAUGAAUUGACAAGAGCACAAUGGUAAAAGCACAAACUGCAUCCAUGAUGGAAGCAACUGCAUUAUACAACUAACUCAACAUUAGCUCUUUGCAAAUAUCUGCACACACACCAUGCAAACACAAGGCUAGUUAAAAGCCCAGAGAGAUAUUAAAGCUGAGUAUAUGCUAACCCCUGCCCAGCAGCCAGAGCCUCAUCUUAAACAUCUAACAAAUGCAGUGAUGAGGUUGGAGGUUCCAUUUCUACCCACUCUACCUGUUUCUACAGUGUAAUCACAGUGGCAGUCUUUUUUUAAACAGUGUUAGAGCUGGUUUUCAGCGUUUAGAAUUAAACGCUAAAAGAAAUGCGUAUCCACGUAAGUUAGGGAUUUGUGUCAGUGUGUGGGGCUAUAGCUUAAGGUCAUGUUGUUCUUGCUAAUUAUAUGAUAGUGUACUUCAGGGAAUCUUACAGAGUAGCAUCUCACAGGUAAUGUGAGUAAUGACUGAAACACAGGGGACAGUUUAUGAUCUGGUCCUUAUAUAACUUUAUGAUGUUUGUUCUGAAUAAUUUCACUAACUUAUCUAAUAAAAUGGUGUUCAAGGAAA